UAUGGAGAAAGGUGGUUUGGGAUCUAAAUAUCAGAGAUUUUCCUUAAAUGUGUUUAAAGCUGUAUUUAAAGCUUAGUUCUGGGGAGAGGAUUGGUGGAGAGAGAAAAAGAAUAGAUCAGGAUUUGAGAUUUGUCUCCUGAAACAUCUACCGUGACUUUUGGAGGGUGUCAGAAAAUAAAACCAGAUUUUCAGGUAGCUAGUAAAAUAUAGAGGGCUUUCUAAUACUUUAGAUUAUGAAUGGAAUUAGAGAGUUCAGGUAAAUCAAAAUAUGAUCUAUUGAAGGGAGUCUGGCUGGUUCAGUUGGUAGAGCAUGCGACUCUUGAUCUUUGGGGUUAUGAGUUUGAGCUCCACAUUGGGUGUAGAGAUUACUUAAGGAUAAAAUCUUAAAAAAAAAAAAAUCCAUUUUGGACUAGCCAAAUAAUAUGGAUAAUGAUGGCAAAUAAAGCAUUUUUAAAAAAGUAAACUGCUGCACCCAUCUUGGGGCUCGACGUCUUGACUCCAAGAUCAACAAUCACAUGCUCUACUGACUGAGCCAGUCAGGUGCCCCUAAAAAAGCAUAAGUUUAAUAAAUUACUACCAGGAAAACAGGCAUGUUUGACAUUCAGGAUCGAAACACUCCCACUUAUACAAACUCUGGGGACAUUUUGAUGUUUAGAACAUUGAAGUUCUCCUGAAACAAUUGGUGAGAUUUUUAUUCAACAAGUUUUGUCUAUAAUAUACUCUUUUAGGCCUCAUAAAGUAGUUAACAGAACAGAAGUCUUCUUGAGCUGAUGUUCAGUCGAGGAAGAUGCACCAACAUGGAUGCAUGUCAGGAGGGAGGGAGCAGUUGUUGCAGAGAAUGUAAAGAAAGGAUAAAAGGAAUAGGAAUGUGGGGACUAACACUUCUUUAUGUGGAUAGUCAAGGGGUGCCUCUCUGAGAAGAUGACACUUGAGCAAAAAGAUGGAAAUAGUCAGUGAUAACAGUAAAUACCUGGGUGUUAA